UACGUAGGGUGGCAAGCGUUAUCCGGAAUUUAUUGGGCGUAAAGAGCUCGUAGGCGGUUUGUCGCGUCUGCUGUGAAAACUGGGGGCUGCAACCCCCAGACCCUGCAGUGGGUACGGGGCAGACUAGAGUGCGGUAGGGGAGAUUGGAAUUCCUGGUGUAGGCGGUGGAAUGCGCAGAUAUCAGGAGGAACACCGAUGGCGAAGGCAGAUCUCUGGGCCGUAACUGACGCUGAGGAGCGAAAGCAUGGGGAGCGAACAGG
rnacentral:rRNA from 1 species